rnacentral:lncRNA from 1 species
GUUGUAGGCCACGCCGGUGUAGCCGAGCUCCAUGGAUUUGAGGGCGAGCUUCAGGCGGCGGCCUUUUAGGGAGGAUUUGUCGGUGGCGUUGCGGUCGGACUCUAGGUAAGGGAUGUUCAAGUCGAAGAAACCCAUUGAUGGUGGAGAUGGCGGCGGUGGUGGCGGUGGCCGUGGCGGCGGAGGAGUGUGGGAAGGGUAACGAGGGUUAACUGUAAUUUUCGGUAAAU